AUGAUUGCUCGCUGCACCAGGAGCAGCUACAGCUAGGCACUUAGGAAAGUGCUAUUUUACCAUAACAUCUGAUAUGUUGUCAAUUUGUAGGUAGACGCUGCCAAAGAUGAGCCAUUUUCCAUUGACAGCGCGCCUGUUAAGAGGGUAUUGCGCUAGGCCAAACAAUUUAGCUGGAUGCCCAAACCUGUGACCGGCCCCCUGGCCACCAGCCGACAAGUCUGCUGAGCUGUGCGCCGACAUUGAUGUUGUACCUGAGCACUGGAGGUGAUAUGUGAGACCUCAAAGUCACCUCCGUGUACACGCGCCUUGUGAUUGGACAGCUACCAGUCGAGAGUGUUCAACAUCGCCUUCUAUCCUUGAGGAGAAAUGUUAUAUAAAAUAAAUGGAUGGAAAAUCAGGGCCAUAAUAUUCAACGCUCACUCAAAUUACCAUAUGAUGAAUAAUAGGUUAUCCCAAGCGACCACUCAGAACUUCUCUUGUGUGUUCUACAUGCAGAGAUCUAUCUAUUUUUAAUUUCCUGUGUAGUGUACCCCGAAAAUCCCUCCAGUGUCAAGCACUUUAUGUUAUUUUAUUUUUUUACAGGAUAUCAGAUUGUCAUGUAACUUCCAAUUAUUUUGGACUUCUAUAAAUGCUCUAACAUAAAUGUCCUAGUGGCUAUUGUAGGUGUGCUUGUGCACGCCUACUGCAGUUUUAGGCCUUGGGCAGGCCAAUGUUGUACUGCUGCCAAAAACAGUAAAGCAGCCCCCCGU